UACAGAGACUGCAAGCGUUAUUCGGAUUCACUGGGCGUAAAGGGUGCGCAGGCGGUCGGGUGUGUCAGAUGUGAAAUCCCGAGGCUCAACCUCGGAACUGCGUCUGAAACUACUCGACUAGAGUACUGGAGAGGGUAACGGAAUUCACGGUGUAGCAGUGAAAUGCGUAGAUAUCGUGAGGAAUACCAGAGGCGAAGGCGGUUACCUGGACAGUUACUGACGCUCAGGCACGAAAGCAUGGGGAGCAAAAGGG
rnacentral:rRNA from 1 species